rnacentral:rRNA from 1 species
GAUAAACGCUAGCGGCAGGCUUAACACAUGCAAGUCGAGGGGCAGCAUAGAUUGUAGCAAUACAAUUGGUGGCGACCGGCGCACGGGUGCGUAACGCGUAUGCAACCUACCCGUCACAGGGGGAUAAUCCGGAGAAAUCUGGUCUAAUACCCCAUAACAUAUGGAUCGGCAUCGGUUCAUGUUGAAAUUUUCGGAGGUGACGGAUGGGCAUGCGUAGCAUUAGCUUGUUGGUGAGGUAACGGCUCACCAAGGCGACGAUGCUUAGGGGGACUGAGAGGUUUUCCCCCCACACUGGUACUGAGACACGGACCAGACUCCUACGGGAGGCAGCAGUGAGGAAUAUUGGUCAAUGGGCGCAAACCUGAACCGGCCAUGCCGCGUGCAGGAUGACGGCUCUAUGAGUUGUAAACUGCUUUUGUACGAGGGUAAAGUGGGUUACGUGUAACCUUUUGAAAGUAUCGUACGAAUAAGGAUCGGCUAACUCCGUGCCAGCAGCCGCGGUAA